rnacentral:lncRNA from 1 species
GAGGAGAAGAAAUAGGCAAAAAGAAAGGAGAGAGGGAAGGAUAGGUUGUCGGGGAGAAGGGACGGAUGUGGGGGGCUGUCGUAAAGGGGUAGGACUCAUGGGUAGGCUUGAAGGAGAAAGGAAAUGAAAAGGUGAAAUAGAUGAGGAGGAUAAGGAGGGAAGAGAGGCUGUCGAUAAGUAAAGAAUUGGAGGAGGAUAAAGAGGAGAAGAAGAUGGAGAGGAAGGAGAGAGAAAGGACAAGUUGUUGGUGAGAAAGGAUGGAGAUGGAGGAGGCCGUCGUGGAGGGGAUGGUUUAUGGGCAGCUUGGAAGAGAAGGAUGAUGAGGAGAAGUGGAUAAGGAAGGGGAGGAGGUGGAGGCUGCCAUGGAAGAGAAAGGGACAAAGAGGAAGGAGGGAGCA